rnacentral:rRNA from 1 species
UACAGAGGGUGCAAGCGUUGUCCGGAAUCACUGGGCGUAAAGGGCGCGUAGGCGGGGAGGUAAGUCGGGUGUGAAAUCCCUCGGCCCAACUGAGGAACUGCGCCCGAGACUGCUUCUCUUGAGUCCCGGAGAGGAAGAUGGAAUUCCCGGUGUAGCGGUGAAAUGUGUAGAGAUCGGGAGGAACACCGGUGGCGAAGGCGGUCUUCUGGACGGUGACUGACGCUGAGGCGCGAAAGCGUGGGGAGCAAACGGG